rnacentral:rRNA from 1 species
GCUGGCGGCAUGCUUUACACAUGCAAGUCGAACGGUAACGCGGGCUUCGGCCUGGCGACGAGUGGCGAACGGGUGAGUACAACAUCGGAACGUAUCCUUUAGUGGGGGAUAGCCCGGCGAAAGCCGGAUUAAUACCGCAUGAUCUCUGAGGAGCAAAGCGGGGGACUUUCGGGCCUCGCGCUGUUGGAGCGGCCGAUGCCGGAUUAGCUUGUUGGUGGGGUAAGAGCCUACCAAGGCGACGAUCCGUAGCUGGUCUGAGAGGAUGAUCAGCCACACUGGAACUGAGACACGGUCCAGACUCCUACGGGAGGCAGCAGUGGGGAAUUUUGGACAAUGGGGGCAACCCUGAUCCAGCCAUGCCGCGUACGGGAAGAAGGCCUUCGGGUUGUAAACCGCUUUCAUACGGAACGAAAUGGUGCCGGUUAAUACCCGGUAUUGAUGACGGUACCGUAAGAAGAAGCACCGGCUAACUACGUGCCAGCAGCCGCGGUAAUACGUAGGGUGCGAGCGUUAAUCGGAAUUACUGGGCGUAAAGCGUGCGCAGGCGGCUCUUUAAGACAGGUGUGAAAUCCCCGGGCUUAACCUGGGAAUUGCGCUUGUGACUGGAGAGCUCGAGUGCGGCAGAGGGGGAUGGAAUUCCUGGUGUAGCAGUGAAAUGCGUAGAUAUCAGAGGAACACCGAUGGCGAAGCAG